GUAGGGGGCGGUAGUCGAGGGUGGUGGGAGAAGGAGGAGGCGGUGAAUCACUUAUAAAUGACACUGAAGCAGGACCCUAAGCCUAAAUUCCAGGAGGGUGAGCGAGUGCUGUGCUUUCAUGGGCCUCUUCUGUAUGAAGCAAAGUGUGUAAAGGUUGCCAUAAAGGACAAACAAGUGAAAUACUUCGUACAUUACAGUGGUUGGAAUGAAAAUUGGGACGAGUGAGUUCUGGAGAGCCGAGUAUUCAAAUAUGUGGACACCAAUUUGCAGAAACAGCGAGAACUUCAAAAAGCCAAUCAGGAGCAGUAUGCAGAGGGGAAGAUGAGAGGGGCUGCCCCAGGAAAGAAGACAUCUGGUCUGCAACAGAAAAAUGUGGAAGUGAAAACAAAAAAGAACAAACAGAAAACACCUGGAAAUGGAGAUGGUGGCAGUACCAGUGAGACCCCUCAGCCUCCUCAGAAGAAAAGGGCCCGGGUAGAUCCUACUGUUGAAAAUAAGGAAACAUUCAUGAACAGAGUUGAAGUUGUAAAGAUUCCUGAAGAACUAAAUCCGUGGCUUGUUGAUGACUGGGACUUAAUUCCCAGGCAAAAGCAGCUGUUUUAUUUUCCUGCCAAGAAGAAUGUGGAUUCCAUUCUUGAGGAUUAUGCAAAUUACAAGAAAUCUCAUGGAAACACAGACAAUAAGGAGUAUGCAGUUAAUGAAGUUGUGGCAGGGAUAAAAGAAUACUUCAGUGUAAUGUUGGGUACCCAGCUACUCUACAAAUUUGAGAGACCACAGUAUGCUGAAAUUCUUGCAAAUCACCCUGAUGCACCCAUGUCCCAGGUGUAUGGAGCGCCACAUCUACUGAGACUAUUUGUAUGAAUUGGAGCAAAAUUGGCCUAUACACUUCUGGAUGAGAAGAGCCUUGCUUUAUUACUGAAUUAUCUUCACGAUUUCCUAAAGUACCUGGCAAAGAAUUCUGCAACUUUGUUUAGUGCCGGUGAGUAUGAAGUGGCUCCUCCUGAGUACCAUCGGAAAGCUGUGUGAGAGCUGCUCUCACUCACCCAUGUUUGUAUCUCCAUAAACACAUUUUUGUUCUUAGUCUAUCUCUUGUACAAACGAUGUGCUUUGAAGAUGUUAGUGUAUAACAAUUGAUGUUUGUUUUCUGUUUGAUUUUAAACAGAGAAAAUAAAGGGGUAAUAGCUCAAAAAAAAAAAAAAAAAAAAAAGAAAGAAAGAAAGAAAGAAA